AAGCAAACUGGUUCUAUCGCUGCAUGUUACAUGGAGAGGAAAGUCCGGGCAACAUAGGGCGAUACGCUUCCUAACGGGAAGGCUGAUUUUUUAUCAGACAGCAAGUGCCACAGAAAAUAUACCGCCCCUCGGGGUAAGGGUGAAAACGUGAGGUAAGAGCUCACGGAUUUGUAUGGCGACAUACAUCUCGGUAAACCUCGUAUGUUGAAAGACCAAAUAGGUUGCAAGAUUAGAAAGCGGCUCGUUUUCUGCCUUCGGGCACUUGCAAUGGGUAGGUUGAUGGAGUCUGUGUGUGAACGCAGACCUAGAUAAAUGAUAGAAAUUCUUAUUUUAGAAUACAGAACCCGGCUUACAAGGUUUGCUU
rnacentral:RNase_P_RNA from 1 species